rnacentral:lncRNA from 1 species
UACUGGGCACCGGGUCGUCGCCUGCAAGUGCGAAGGGACCUGAAAGGGUAAAUUUGGUAUUAAAAAAUAUUUUUACACGCCUGCGAGUCGCAAUUUUUAUUUCUUGCACAAUAUUUUAAUUAUAAUUAAAAUUCUUAAUCUUUACAAAUUGCCACCCUUAUUUCUCUAACGAACUUUUAUAUUAUUCUUGUCAUUGAACUUUCCAUCAAUUAACAUAUUUUGCAUUUAAUAUAUAUAUUUUUUAUGGCAUUCUUAUUUUCAAAAUUUUCAUUAGUUAACACAUUUUUAUUUGGUAACAGUUUAUGUUCAAAAAAUCAGUUGAAAUAUCGUAUAACAACUUAUUUUUCAUCAUAUUUAAUAAAUAAAUAAAUAAAAUUUUCCUCUUAUUUCAAAGCAUAAAAAUAAAAUAUUAUGAUAUAAAUCAUCAUCAAAGAUAGAUAUACUAAUUAAUGAAAGGUUAAAGAUAAGAAUUCGAUAAAAAAAAGUUAAGUAAAUAAUAGCUACAAAAAGAAAUGAUUGAAAAACUUCAAAAGCAAUUUUAAGAUAUUGCAACAAAUAAAAAUUGUAGCGUCAAUGUAAUCAACGAUCACACAACAUUAUGAGAAUAAGAAUGUGAUAAAAAAAAUUGAGAUAUAAAUGUGAUAAUAUACAAAGGUUAUAAAUUUUCUAUAUAAUUAAAAUAUAGUCUAAUUAUUAAAAUCUGUCAUGUGAAUAUAUUUAGCCUUAAUUUAAUUUAAAACAAUCAUAUUCAAACCAAAAUUUUUGUUAACUAUACCAUAUUUUAAUGGCAACGAAUUUUUUUUAAUAUUUGCUCAUUUUUCACUUAUGUUCCCAAUUUUUCGCCAAAUUCUUAUCAUCAACUUUUUAUUAAUUUACAAAAUUUGAUUCUCAUGACAAUUUCUGUAUAAAAAUUUUAUUAGGAAAGCAUAUAACAAAUGACAAAAAAUCCAACAAACCUGAUACCUAUGGCCUCACCUUGAACGGGGUGAGGAUUGCCCAUUUAAUCGAGUCAAGUACAGGGUGGGGAAUUUUGCCCUGAGGUGGGUAUGGUAACAGGGGCCCGUUCCAUUUAUUUUUUAUUAAGAAUUCAAUACUUUAAAAAGAAAUACUUCAUGAAGUUUCAUUAGUUUUAAAAGAAGAUGACAACUAAAAUUAUCUAAAAAAAUAUGAUAAAUAAUAAAAAUAUUAGUUUACCGGAUAUAUUCAAAUAAUUUAACUUUUAAAAAUUUUAAUAAUUAUAUUAUUAUCUCACUCGAAUAAAUGGGGACAAUAAAAUGAAUUAUCAAAAAUUAUAAAAAAAAAAUUAAAUGGGUACAUAGGUGGGGCAAGAGCCCUUCCCUGCCUGUCGACCUGCCGCACUUUAAAUGGGUAACAAACAGGAUGGGAAAAUGGCCUGCAGGGUGUAGGAUCCCCCCCUCAUUUCCAACUCUAUACAAAAGUUAUAUCUCUUGUAUUUUUAAAUAACUAAAAUAAAUUACAAAUACAAAAGUUCAAUGUAAUAUUUGUCGAAGAGUGGUAUCUUGUUUCUUGAAUUUGAAUAAAUUGUCUCAAAGAUAGCUAAACUUCUGCUUUAGUCCACCAUGGGGCUCCCAAAGGAGGUUUCCAGAUUUUGUUGGAAUUCCUCCAAAGAGGCUCUCAAAAGAGAAAAAAACACAGUGAAGUUUUUAAGAAAUGAAACAUCCAAACCAUGUAUCUUAAAAAUUGCAUACACUAAUCAUGUUGCUACUAACUGUUAAUUUUUCUUGAAAAUUUCAGUGGGAUGAUCUUAUAUGUACACGUUGUAGUAUCAUCCAUUCAACUGAUGAUGUAAUCAUUUGUGUCAUAAUUAAUAUUUAGCCCCUGUUUGUAUCCCAUUUUUUCGAACUUCUUUUUCUAUAUAAUCAAUUUUUACCAUACAUUAUGAUGUGAUCCGGAAUAGACUAAUCCCGGGACCAAGAACUUCCUUUUUUGCAAAGUAGUUUAUUAUGACUAGAAUUCUUGUUUUUGGUAACUUUUCAUAUUUUAGGACUUUUAAUUCCGUUUUAACAGUAUUUUAGGGUUUAGUAUAAAUAGGAUUUUAUUUUUUCAUUGUAAUUGAACUUUGAUUUUGAGAGAUUAAUUCAAGGGGUUGUUUGCUUCCGAUUUCUUUGUUCUUGAUGGAACAAUUUUUCGAACUUAUCAAGAUUAUUAUCUUUGGCGUUCAAAGCUACCGAGUGACAUUCUUGAAUCUUGUAAUUAAGAGGUCGACAUAUCAAUUGAUUGUUGGUUGCUUUAUUCAAAACUACCGGGUGAAUCCCCAACCUUGUUUAUUUGGCUUUCUUGGGUUUGGUUUCAAUCUAGUUGCGGGUUUUGUAGCCAUCUCUACUAUGCGGAUUUACAUCGGUUGGUAUAAGAGUUUGGGCUCCAAAAAUCAAGGUUAUAUCCCUUUUAUUUUUGUUUGAGUCUUUUGAUUUUCCUUUUCCUUGUUUUUCCACGUUCUUCGUGUUCUUCAUUGUUUUUGAGUCUUUAAUCCGUAAAGGUUCCGUCAAAAUUUCAAAAAUUGUUUUUGGGCUAAUUUAACAUUCAAUUCAACUUUCAUUUGUUUUGCGGAUAACGUAGUAAGAUUUUCUCCCAAAAUGAGUUAAAAAAGUCAAAAAAAAUUCAAAAAAAAUUCCAAAAUUCAUAAAAAAUAAAAAAGUGGGAGAGUCAAAAAUUAAAAACAGUUAUUAUUGUCAUCAUCAUCAUCAUCAUCAUUAUAAUUAUGAGAUUUACUACCAACAUCCUACAAUUUGUUUGAGUCAAAAAUCUAUUCUUUCUAGUCCAGCCCAAAAUUCAAGAACCAUUUUCUUGAAUUUUCAUAGUCACAUUCAAAAUUUUCAUCCAAAUUUCUUUGAGUCUUUAAAGGUUAUAAAUUCUCACUUACACUCAGUUUGAAUUCCACAAGAAUAAUUCCUGAUUGAGUUCGAAAUUGUUCUUUGAAACACUUGGACGGAAGCAUUGAGAGGAAAAAAGGUAGAGUGGUGAGACUAAUAGAGGGAAAAAACCGAAGUAAGUGAUACACGAUAGAAAUACACGUGAGACAGAAAAUAUCUUAGAAUUUAGGAUGUCUGACAGAGAAGGUUCAACUUCAAGUAGGAACAACAGCCAAGCUAACAUUUCGGACGAGGUGUUACGAUGGUUUGAGAGGUUGCUUGGGGACAUGAGAGAUAGAACGGAUAGACAUGAGGCUUGGAUGGAAAUGUAAGAUAAAAUACUUGCCAAUUUACAAAUGGGAGCACCCAAUACGAAGAGACAUGGUAGACUCGUCUAGGGCGGAAGUUCGUGAAAAGUUUCGAGAUGAUAGCGAUAAGGAUGAAGGUGCAAGAAUCAAGGUUGAAAUGGAGAGGAUGAGAAAUAGAGGAGCUAGGUUUGAAAGGAGAGGAAGGAAUCUUGUUGUAGACGUGGUAGAUAAGAGUAUGGGCAAUAUAAAAAUGUCAAUUCCACCAUUCAACGGAAGGAGUGAUUCAGAAGCUUACCUAAAGUGGGAGAAGAAUGUAGAAUUGAUUUUCGAUUGCCACAAUUAUUUGGAGGAGAAGAAAGUGAAGAUAGUAGUCAUUGAAUUCACCGACUAUGCAAUUGCUUCGUGAGAUCAAGUGGUUAUAUCAAGGUCGAGGAAUCGGGAGUAGCCUAUCAAUACAUGGGAUGAUUUGAAAGCUAUUAUGUGGAAGAGGUUCGUGCAUAGUCACUAUUAUAGGAAACUCCAUCAAAAAUUACAAAGCCUAUUCCAGGGGUCCAGGAGUAUAGAGGAUUACCAUAAGGAGAUGGAGAUGUUGAUGAUUAAGGAAAAUAUAGAGGAGAAUCGGGAAGUUACAAUGGCUAGGUUCUUGAAUGGAUUGAAUAGGGACAUUGACAAUGUAGUGGAGUUGCAGCACUAUAUGGAAUUAGAAGACAUGCUACAUGUGACUAUGAAGAUGGAGAAGUAACUGAAGAGAAAAGGGGACAGCUAGGUAUUCAUCAAGAUCUUCAGGUUCUACUUCUUGGAAGUCAAAAUGGGAUGAUUAUAGGGUUGAUAGGGUUCUCUUGAAUAGUAGAAUCGAACCACCAAGGAAAAGGAAGAAAUUGCUAGCAAGACUACACCCAAAAUGGAAUCCCAACCUUUUAGGAGUCGGGAUAUCAAAUGCUUCAAGUGGUUGGGAUCGGGGCACAUUGAUUUUCAGUGUCCUAAUAAACAAGAAAUGAUCUUGAGUGUUAAUGGGGAAGUAGUGACUGAUAGUGAUGGAGAUGAGAUGCCUGAACUAGAUGAUGUUAGCAAUGGUGAGGUGGUAGAAUAUUUGGUCGAAGGGAAAGCACUUGUGCUGAUGCAUUCUCUCAAUACAUAAAACAAUGUGGAAGAAAAGGAAUAGCAACGGGAGAACAUCUUUCAUACUAGAUGCCAUGUCGAGAACAAGGUAUGUAGCUUGAUAAUUGAUGGAGGUUGUUGCAUAACAUUGUUAAUACUAUGCUUAUUGAGAAGUUAAGACUAACUACAACCAAACACCCUAAACCUUAUAAAUUACGAUGACUAGAUGAUUGUGGAGAUGUUAAGGUGAAUAAGAGAGUAUUGGUGAAUUUCUCAAUUGGGAGGUAUAGCAACGAGGUGUUGUGUGACAUCGUUUCUAUGCAUGUUGGCAUAUUUUGUUGGUAGGUCAUGGCAGUAUGAUAAGAAGGUGAAACGUCAUGGAUUUAAAAAUAGGUACAACUUUGAUAAAGACGAAAAAUCUAUUACACUUGUACUUUUAACACUACAAUAGGUCUGUGAAGACCAAACGAAAUUGAGAAGUGAGGAAGAAAGAAAGAGAAAAGAGAGGCAGAGAGAGAGAGAGAGAGAGAGAGAGAUGUGGCUAAUUUUGAGAAAAACAGAGUAGAGUCACAAGAGAGAAAAGAAAAAAGUCUGNUUGGUAACUUUUCAUAAUUUAGGAAUUUUUGUGAUUCAAAGGUGUUCCCUAUAAUUAUUUUAUAAAAUUGUUCUUUAGAGGCUUUUUUUCAUGAGGUUACAUAAAGAUUUGAAGAAGAUUUUCAUCUUCUAGAUUUUCAUCUUCUAAUAAACAAUAGUAAUUGCUGAAAGAAGAUAUUCAAUCUGCUAAUAAGCUUUAGAAAUUGAUGGUUCUGCAGCCAUGCUUGAGCAUCUAUGCUAGGUUUUUUUUAUAUACGUGUGUAAUACAGCUAUUUUUAAUGGAAGUGCUUUAUUUCUUUGAGCAGACAAUAAAUUGCAGUUUACAUAAAUGAGAUUUCUUUAUAGAGUUGGCCACUAGAGAAAUUUGGGAAUAUAUAUUUAUGCUUUUGUGUUAGAGAAUCAGCAAUUCAUCAGUUGCAAAAUUCAAUAAACAGUCUCUGAGAAUGGGGAAGUUUUCUAAAUCCCCACAUUGACUAGACAUGCUUUAUUCCCAACUUGUACUGGUAUCAAAUCUCCCUUAUUUUUUUUUGGAUUUGCACCCGCCAAUGUCCUGUUCCCUAAUUUAUAAUGAUUUGCAGACGAUGAAGAAGAUAUUUCAUAGUAAUUUGGUAAGACUUGCUGGCUUGGUGGUAAAAUGACGCACAAGUAAAAUUUUAGUGUAUUAGUUGCAUUGGGUUUUGAUGAGAUUUGCUGUCAAGAAACAACAUGUAACAUUGUGUUGAAAACAUUAACAAAAUGAAAUCAGAAGAGAAUAAUUGGUAUUGCAUUUAUAUCUCGGACACUAUCGAUUGCGCUUCACACAUGUUAUCCAAUGUAAGGGCAACCUAUUAAGUAGACCAUCUUCAGAAGUUAUGGUCAUUAACAAGUUCUUUUCGGUUGUUUGCUGCUUUUGUAGAAUCUAGCGUUUAUGUUUCAUAAAUCUCGUGUAUUUGAAGAAAUUCAAACAUGUCUAACAAGUAUGUUGUCAUUUGUCUUUUCUUUAGUAUCAUGCUUCUUCAUUUUUUACUUAUAAUAUCAACCCAGGUGCCAUGGAAUCACUUGUGAAUGCAGACGAUUCAAAGAGAUUUAUCAUUUUCAAGCUAUAUGCAACCGAGAUUCUUAAAAUUAUUGGUAUUAGAUAGUCUCAUGCAUACCAAGGCUAACUGAGUCAGAGGCAAAUUUUGCAUCAGAGGAUGUGACUUUUUUGAGAGAGGUGUAUGAGUAAAAAGCCAAAGUGCUUUCUCUCUCUAUAUAGAUGAUUAUUUUGUGGUCAUUUAUUUUGUGCUUUUUAUAAUUUUAUAAUAGUGAGAGAAUGAGAAUCAAUGUACGGUUUCUCUUAAAGAAAUAUGUUAUAAGCAUAACAGUUUAACUAUUGAGGACACCGAAGAAUAGGAAAGCCAG